UUUCAAGCAUUGAAGAGAUUGCAGUAGUGUAGCAUGUUCCCUGUUGUAGAGAGCCGGCGGUUGGUGGAAGCCGGUCAAAGCAUGUACAUGAAGUACGGUCUUGGAGUUUGAACGUGUCCGUCGCGUUAAGACGGUUCGAGUGGAAGAUGAUGUCUUCAAGCCGGGUGGUACCGCGUUAUGUAUAAACGUCCCUGCA
rnacentral:ncRNA from 1 species